CGCGAGAUCCAAAGGACUGGCGCGAGAAGGACAAGAGCAUGGAUCCAAGCCCAACCAAACUACUGUAACACGCCUGAAUUGUUGCUGCUUGGCUCUGUUUAAAACUAGAGGACUGUGUUGAUUAUCGACUGAGUCAUUCAUCAGAUGGCCACAUUUCUCAGAAUGCAACUUCUUCAGUUGAAGCAUUCUGGCAGAGAAGAGUCCGGGGUCUGUCUGAAGGAGUUGAAGAGAUGGGUAGUAUCCGCUGGGACCUGGCUGGAUGUCUUCUGCUAAGCUGAAUCAUUUGUUACUUCUGUAUCUGGAAAGUAGUCAAGUCUUCAGGAAAGGGCAUAUUGCUCUUCGUCAAAUUCACCCCUCCUGAGGUACAACGACAACUACCAGUACCCAAGGUGAGGCCAUGCCCUCGGGCUAUUGCUCGCUUUCUUUUUAGCCCUCAUGGUGCCACAGUGAUUUAUCUACAGUCUGGCUGUAACUCCAGGAACACUCAGACAGGUACUCUGAGUAUCACACUAUUGCAGAUGACCUGUUGAGAGCACCAAUGAAGAAAACUCUCAACUCUGAAACAUGUCCUUCCUACAAAGAACAUGAACUGUGUGCUCUGAACAUGACUGAAGAAAGUAUAAUUUCUACCAGGGUUUGAAAGACUUUAAAAAUCCUUUCGAAAAAUGGUCUGAAAUGUAUAUAACAGCAUGUUUUAUUUGGUUUAUAUGACUCUGGUUCUUCAUAGCUGUGAACAAAAAACUGAACAACUGCAACACAUUCUGUACAUUUUAUGGUUAAAUUAAUACUUGCCCUAAAACACAAUAUUAUAUAAGUGUUUUACUUCUGACAAAUUUUAAUUUAAUUGAAUAUAACAG